rfam:Gossypium hirsutum cultivar TM-1 chromosome 16, whole genome shotgun sequence
UAUUAAAAAUUUUAUCCAUUUUUAUUGUUAAAAACUGGUGUAGAUGACAAAAUAACUAAACAGUUAUACGUGUCAUGCCACAUGUAAUUCAUGUUGACGUACAAUAAUCAAUUUUUAAUGGUAAAAAUGGAUGAAAUUUUUAAAA